GGCUGGUGCACGUAGAGUGCUAUUUAUAACGAAUUGAUCACAACCAAUUACAGAUUGCUGUGUUCUGUCUCCACCCCACUGCUUCACUUCACUGGUCUUUA
rnacentral:Y_RNA from 1 species